rnacentral:misc_RNA from 1 species
AUCCAAUCAAGCCUGGCUUGGUAUUGGGCGUCGGGGUCCCCCGCGCCUCAAUUUCACCGGCUGGCCGUCGCCCGUCUUAGCGUUGUGACACAAUUCUCGCUAGCGAUAGGAGCGGACCACGCCGUCAGAACUCCACGAAUUUCAAUCGAAAUUUGAUUAAGGUUGACCUCGGAUCGGGUAGGAAUACCCGCUGAACUUAA